rnacentral:rRNA from 1 species
CCUACGGGUCGCAGCAGUAGGGAAUCUUCCACAAUGGACGAAAGUCUGAUGGAGUAACGCCGCGUGAGUGAUGAAGGUUUUCGGAUCGUAAAACUCUGUUGUAAGGGAAGAACACGUACGAGAGGGAAUGCUCGUACCUUGACGGUACCUUACAAGAAAGCCACGGCUAACUACGUGCCAGCAGCCGCGGUAAUACGUAGGUGGCAAGCGUUGUCCGGAAUUAUUGGGCGUAAAGCGCGCGCAGGCGGCCUUUUAAGUCUGAUGUGAAAGCCCCCGGCUCAUCCGGGGAGGGCCAUUGGAAACUGGAAGGCUUGAGUACAGAAGAGAAGAGUGGAAUUCCACGUGUAGCGGUGAAAUGCGUAGAGAUGUGGAGGAACACCAGUGGCGAAGGCGACUCUUUGGUCUGUAACUGACGCUGAGGCGCGAAAGCGUGGGGAGCAAACAGGAUUAGAUACCCCUGUAGUC